rnacentral:lncRNA from 1 species
GUCGGGUUGACGCGGACGACCGGGAGGACUUCCAUCGACUCAAAGACAUGUCGGUCCCGAAGCAGAGGGAGCUUGUUACCGAACAAGCUCUCUAUGAUGCCGGCCUGAGUCUGGUCCCCCGAAUAGGUAUCGCCCGAUCCCCCAGCUUCUCUUUUUGUUCGGCUUUAGGGUAGCUUUGGUCCGGCCUUUAACACUCUUGUCGGUAUUGCAGGGACACCGCCGAGGAUGAGGCCGACCGAUGCCGAGAUU